rnacentral:rRNA from 1 species
CCUACGGGAGGCAGCAGUGGGGAAUAUUGCACAAUGGGGGAAACCCUGAUGCAGCGACGCCGCGUGAGUGAAGAAGUAAUUCGUUAUGUAAAGCUCUAUCAGCAGGGAAGAAAAUGACGGUACCUGAGUAAGAAGCCCCGGCUAACUACGUGCCAGCAGCCGCGGUAAUACGUAGGGGGCAAGCGUUAUCCGGAUUUACUGGGUGUAAAGGGAGCGUAGACGGCAGUGCAAGUCUGGAGUGAAAGGCGGGGGCUCAACCCCCGGACUGCUCUGGAAACUGUACGGCUUGAGUGCAGGAGAGGUAAGUGGAAUUCCUAGUGUAGCGGUGAAAUGCGUAGAUAUUAGGAGGAACCCCAGUGGCGAAGGCGGCUUACUGGACUGUAACUGACGUUGAGGCUCGAAAGCGUGGGGAGCAAACAGGAUUAGAUACCCCAGUAGUC